rnacentral:antisense_RNA from 1 species
ACACUGAAGGGUUGGCAGGGGACCAGAGAAUAGAGGAAGCAUUGUAGGUUCUAGAGUGGAGAAGGGACCAUCCAAAAUGGAGUUUGAAAGAGAAUUCUGGCCUUUGUGUUUAGAGUCUGGAAUUGUUAAGAGUCUGAAGGCACAGAAUAAGACUGCAGCUAGAGCAAUUUAGGCGCCAUAGUUUGUCAAAACAGAGUGGGAGGCAUAACUGCUUUGCCUCCAGUCGUCAUCUGGGGGCAUAUCUACUCUUCGAGGACCAGGGGUUCGGGACCCUGGAACAGGAUCUGAAUUCCAAGCUGACCUCAGGGGUACAUGAAGACUGCUAGAUGAGAUGGGAUCUCACUGUGCUGCCCAGGCUGGUCUCGAACUGCUGGACUCAAGUAAUCCUCCCAUCUUGGCCUCCCAAAGUGCUGGGAUUAUAGUGGACAACCUUGAAUGCACUGGUACUUUGUACCCUGACCUCUACUGUAAUGAAAACUCAACUUGGGCAAGGAAGUGAAAUUCUCCAAAGUGCAGUGGGUUCUGACCCAAUCAGCAGCCUUUGCUUCUCAGAUUCUUCUCAGGGCUUUAUGACUCUUCUCACCCCAGGAAACCCUACAACACGCACAGCCUUCCAGAACUGCUACACGGAAUGGACAUUCCUCUGGGCUCCAACUGAAUGUUUGUAAACAAAAUAAUGACUGCGCGUCCU